rnacentral:lncRNA from 1 species
CUUCAGCACAACACAAUCGGGCGCCCGUUCUAUUCUAGAACAGAUCCAACUCAACCAAUAACCUCUAGACACCAAUAAUAAGUUCCAAUCAUCAACUCAGACUUAGACUUUACCAACUUACGAAGGUCUAGUACAUUACAAUUUUUAACAGAAAAGUUCUAUUCACUAUUUAGAUCAAGAUUAUAUAACUCUAAUUUUGAACUAAAAAAUUCGAUAUUCUAUUUUUAGGUGGUCGUCUUAUAGUUUAAAAAUUACAAAAUUCAGUUUUUAGGUACUUCAAAUGCUCUAAAUUGUAUUUAAUGGUAUGAGUUACUGAUUAGCAAGCUCUAUGGUCGAAAAUAAUUUAUG